AUUGAACGCUGGCGGCAGGCCUAACACAUGCAAGUCGAACGGUAACAGGAAGAAGCUUGCUUCUUUGCUGACGAGUGGCGGACGGGUGUGUAAUGUCUGGGAAACUGCCUGAUGGAGGGGGAUAACUACUGGAAACGGUAGCUAAUACCGCAUAACAUCUCAAAACCAAAGAUGAGGACCUUCGGGCCUCUUUCCAUCGGAUAUGGCCAGAUGGGAUUAGCUAGUGGGGGGGGUAACGGCUAACCUAGGCGACGAUCCCUAGCGGUUCUGGGAGGAUGACCACCACAACUGGACCUGAGAACCGGUCCAGACUCCAACGGGAGGCGGCGGAGGGGAAUAUUGGCCAAUGAGCGAAAGCCUGCUGAAGCCAUGCCGCGUGUAUGAAGAAGGCCUUCGGGUUUUAAAGUACGUUCAGAGGGGAGGACGGGAGUAAAGUUAAUAACCUCACUCAUUGACGUUAACCGCAGAAGAAGCACCGGCUAACUCCGUG
rnacentral:rRNA from 1 species